rnacentral:rRNA from 1 species
UACGUAGGGGGCAAGCGUUGUCCGGAAUCAUUGGGCGUAAAGAGCUCGUAGGCGGUUUGUCGCGUCUGCUGUGAAAACUCGGGGCUUAACUCCGGGCCUGCAGUGGGUACGGGCAGACUAGAGUGCGGUAGGGGAGACUGGAAUUCCUGGUGUAGCGGUGAAAUGCGCAGAUAUCAGGAGGAACACCGGUGGCGAAGGCGGGUCUCUGGGCCGUAACUGACGCUGAGGAGCGAAAGCGUGGGGAGCGAACAGG